rnacentral:rRNA from 1 species
CACGUAGGGCGCAAGCGUUGUCCGGAAUUAUUGGGCGUAAAGAGCUCGUAGGCGGUCUGUUGCGUCCGCUGUGAAAACCCGGGGCUUAACCCCUGGCUUGCAGUGGAUACGGACAGACUAGAGGUAGGUAGGGGAGAAUGGAAUUCCUGGUGUAGCGGUGAAAUGCGCAGAUAUCAGGAAGAACACCCGUGGCGAAGGCGGCUCUCUGGGACGGUACUGACGCUGAGGAGCGAAAGCGUGGGGAGCGAACAGG